GUUGACCUCGAAUCAGGUAGGAAUACCCGCUGAACUUAAGCAUAUCAAUAAGCGGAGGA
rnacentral:rRNA from 12 species